GAUGAACGCUGGCGGCGUGCCUAAUACAUGCAAGUCGAGCGAACAGAUGAGGAUCUUGCUCCUCUGACGUUAGCGGCGGACGGGUGAGUAACACGUGGAUAACCUACCUAUAAGACUGGGAUAACUUCGGGAAACCGGAGCUAAUACCGGAUAAUAUAUUGAACCGCAUGGUUCAAUAGUGAAAGACGGUUUUGCUGUCACUUAUAGACGGAUCCGCGCCGCAUUAGCUAGUUGGUAAGGUAACGGCUUACCAAGGCAACGAUGCGUAGCCGACCUGAGAGGGUGAUCGGCCACACUGGAACUGAGACACGGUCCAGACUCCUACGGGAGGCAGCAGUAGGGAAUCUUCCGCAAUGGGCGAAAGCCUGACGGAGCAACGCCGCGUGAGUGAUGAAGGUCUUCGGAUCGUAAAACUCUGUUAUUAGGGAAGAACAAAUGUGUAAGUAACUAUGCACGUCUUGACGGUACCUACUCAGAAAGCCACGGCUAACUACGUG
rnacentral:rRNA from 1 species